rnacentral:miRNA from 1 species
UGCCGUACUGCGAAAUCUUUCUCCUUCAAGUGACUGCAGACCGCAGCAGCGGCAGCAGCAGCAGAGGCAGCAGCGGCAGAGGCAGCAGCAGGAGGAGUCAGCUGGAG